AUUGAACGCUGGCGGCAGGCUUAACACAUGCAAGUCGAACGAGUGGCGGACGGGUGAGUAAUGCUUGGGAAUCUAGCCUAUGGAGGGGGAUAACUACGGGAAACUGUAGCUAAUACCGCGUACCAUAGGAUGAGCACAAGUGGGAUUAGGUAGUAGGUGGGGGAAAGGCUCACCAAGCCGACGAUCUCUAGCUGGUCUGAGAGGAUGAAAAGCCACACUGGGACUGAGACACGGCCCAGACUCUUACGGGAGGCAGCAGUGGGGAAUAUUGCGCAAUGGGGGCAACCGGCCGCAGCCAUGCCGCGUGAAUGAAGAAGGCCUUAGGGUUGUAAAGGUCUUUCGGUAGAGAGGCGUUAACUACAGAAGAAGCACCGGCUAACUCCGUGCCAGCAGCCGCGGUAAUUC
rnacentral:rRNA from 1 species